UACGAAGGGGGCUAGCGUUGUUCGGAAUUACUGGGCGUAAAGCGUGCGCAGGCGGCCUUCCAAGUCAGGGGUGAAAGCCCAGAGCUCAACUCUGGAAUUGCCUUUGAGACUGUGAGGCUUGAGUACGGGAGAGGUGAGUGGAAUUCCCAGUGUAGAGGUGAAAUUCGUAGAUAUUGGGAAGAACACCGGUGGCGAAGGCGGCUCACUGGCCCGAAACUGACGCCCAUGCACGACAGCGUGGGGAUCAAACAGG
rnacentral:rRNA from 1 species